AAAUUAUAUCUAGCCGCUACUUCACCUGCUCAACUCAACCUAGAAUGCAAUAACGACAGCAUUUUCGUUCGGGGGGCAAGCUGGCAUCUGAAGACUGUCUUCGGUUACCACAAGUGUCAUGUUAAUUCUACAUCAGGGAAGUCGAUGAACUUUCUUCUUUUUUUGUAUCACCUAGAACUAGUUUUGUGGGUGCAAGUGCUUGUGUGACUUCGCCUGCGAUAUUCUGAGCUCACUGCGAGUCCGAACUCUGAUAAAGGCAGAGGGAGAGCUCGCGCAUAAUACCGGCAUGUUAGGUGUGGUAAGUCGCAUCAUGUGCUUGGUCAGCUUGCUUGCGCAAGAAAAUGUUGUCGCGACAAUGGUUUAUUGUUUGUGUUAACUGACGUUUCUUAUCUCGGCUCGUAUGUGCUUUGCUUGUUUGGUUAGCGUCGUAGCUUGUGUACUACAUAACUGUUUGAUUACCGUAUGCGGAUGAAGCUGGCUGCGUGGGGAACUGUUUACAUUCACCUGUCGUUGUGUUCCAAAAUCAUAAGGCUUUAAUGCGAAGGGUUAUAGUUAGCCAAUUUCUCUCUUUCACGAGCAGGGAUUUGUUGCUUUGUUGACGCUACAGGGAAGUUUCCUGGUUUUAAAGAAAGUUGUGGCUAGAGAGCUCUAUAGGCAAUAAGGCAACAGCUACUUCAACAAGCUAUGCAUGAUAGCUGAUAUCAGCCGCAAAUCGUGCGUGUGUUGUCCCAGAGACCGUUUAGUUCUAGUGUGACUGUGUGAUAUUGUACUCUGUAGUAUGUGCAGUAUUUCCGAAGACUGGUUGGUUUAUAUUUUUGUUAAUGUAAAUUAAAUAUGUAAAGUUGUUGUGUGCACUACAGUAGUGAGACAAAAGCCUUUCAUAUAUUUAGGUUGCCUGUAUGUUUUGAAGGUGUGUCUGCAAAGCUCUGUAACGUUUUGUCUGUUUUUGUUUUUUGUUUUUUUGUUUUUAAAUCUCUUAUGCUCUGGAUAAGAUGGACGUCUUUCCUCUGACCUGUUACCAAGACAGCUGGAUGUGUAAGAAGCUGGAACUAAGUCACUGAAGAAGUAAACCGAUGAAAACCGAUUUGGAUUGUCUGAGAGAUGACACAAGUAAAAGGAGAAGAAUGCUGCUCAGCUGGGUUGGCGAAGCUCUUGGAUAUCAUCAGCACAUGUAUGAAGCACAGAGUCAUUCCGGUAGGCACAGAGUCGUUCCUCGAUGGACGUGAUGACCUGGCACCAAAACCGCUUAAUGUGUAUGAAGCUGUCUGCAUCGAGGGAAGAACCCAGCACUGAAAUGACACAAAUGAAAGAAGAGUACUUCUGCUCUGCUGGGUCUGCGACACUACUUAUCCGAGGAGUCCUCAAACAUCAGGAUGUAGGAAGACACAAGUAAAAGGAGAAGAAUGCUGCUCAGCUGAGUCGGCGGUCACACUACUUAUUCAAGAAGCUCUUGGAUAUCAUCGGCAUGUGUGAAGCACAGUCAUUCCGGUAGGCACGGAGUCGUUCCUCGAUGGACGUGAUGACCUGGCACCAAAACCACUUAAUGUGUAUGAAGCUGUGUCUGCAUCGAGGGAAGAACCCAGCACUGAAAUGACACAAAUGAAAGAGGACGUCUUCUCUGCUGGGUCUGCGACACUACUUAUCCCAGGAAUCCUCAAACAUCAGGAUGUAGGAAACUUAUGGUGAGAUGCCAAGAACCGCCAUGAGGGAUAUGCAACCUGCAGCUUCACCAUGCUUUUGGGAGAUCAUGUACUACGUGAACCUUGAGUAUCUACAAGCCAGCUACUUUAAGUCCUUGAAAGGGUAGUGAUGUCAUUCAAGCCAGAUCACGAGACAAGGUCCUGUACAAACUGUCAAUCUAAGUGUUGCGACAUCCCUGUCAGUUCUUUUGGACUGAAUACAUGCUGUGUUUGAAAUGUAUUAUUCGGAUAACCUCCCAUCAGGGAAUACCUUGUCUGUUAAUGACGGAUGGACAUGCCAUUGACAUGCAGUGCACACUUUGAUGUUUUUUAUUUUAAUGUUUUCUAUGUUUUUCCGAUGUUCUUUUUUAUUUAUGUUCUGUUAUAUGCUGGUUAUGUAAGUACUGUAUGGAAUGUAGUGACUGUAGAGCCCAAGACAAAUUUCAACCUGGGGACAAAAAGUUCACUCCACUCUGUUAGCGCAGUUAUGGAUGCACUGUAAAUUUUGUAAUUAACCAAAAGUACGGUGAGAAGCCUGUUUGUGCAGAUGGACCUGCUGGCGGGCCUGUUUACUCAUAGCUAAAAAGCAACAUAUUCUCUGUGCAAAGCACAUGGGCUCUUUGCAAAGGGGUUAAACAUUUUCAUGUGCUGUUUUACAGUGUGCUAUACAAAAGGUAAGGUGAAACUAUUUUUUUGAAAUUCUAUAAUUGUACAGUGUCACUGAAAUCAAAUGGUGCAUUGGUAAAACUGAACCAUUUCCUUUAAUCCCGUUUAGCAGAGCCUAUGUUUGAACUAUACUGUCACCAAUAUUGUAAUGACUGAGUUUUAACCUGUUACUUAAGGCUCUUAGUAAUGUCAUAGCAAUGUUGCUAUGAUGUACUUGAGUCUUUUCAGUCAUGAGUGAUCAGUCUUGCUGAUAACCCGUCUUUGCAAAGAGGCUACAAAGAUGCAUGUAAAUUCAAUUAAGGUUUUAUUGCUCCAAUGCUAUCAUGUGUUAAUGCUACACUGCUGUGAUUUGCAUCUUUAUA